GAGAAGAAGACGAAGAAGAAGAAAA
rnacentral:sRNA from 1 species